CCUCCGCCUCGAGGGUCACCCACCGUCUCCGUGUCUCCGAAUGCCUCCGAGGUCUCUGCCGAUCACGGGGCCUCUCCUUCCCUGACCGCCCCCCCCCCCCCCCCCCGAUCGUCUCCCUCUCUGCCUCUUCCGGGUGCUGGUCUCACUGCCUGGAGUUUGGGGUGACCGUGCCGGGAGCAGCCUCGAAGAGCUGGGGGGUGGGGGGGGGUGAGUACACACCCUUUGGCAGAUAAGCGUCUCCCGGGCUGCCUUCCGGCCAGAGCUCGCCUUCCUUGGCUUUUAGAGCCGUGCGAGCACCCUCACAGCCCGGCAUCCCAGACUCCUUCCAGCCCCGGUGGGAGCCGGCCAGGGCUCCCGUCCCAAGAGGAGGCUGUUAACGUGGUGGGACCGGUAGCCAACGGUGGCUCCCCAACGCCCCGCGCGUCACACACAUCAAGGUCCUUGCCUUGCUAGUCAAGCAAUUCCCAAGCUACUGGCUAUUUUUACGAUGCUGUGGGAUCUGUUUUUGGCUUCCCGACCCUGUCUUCCAGUACACGUGUAAUAACAGCCCCGUUGUUCUAGAAAAACAAUAAAAACGAGCACUCCGGUUUGGCAGCAGUCUUCGCUCCAGCAGAGCAGAAUGCACAAAACCUUUGCUAUCAGCUCCUGGGCUUGGGGAGGACGCCAAAGGCAGCACCCCCUUCCCCGGAGCCCCCGCAGGCUUUGCUUAAUGCUGGGGACCGUGGGGCAGGGGACAGGGGGGGACGCGAGGAAGGCAUCUUCCCGGGCAGCCACCAAACAGUGGAACCCUGAAAAAGCCUCCGUGAGGGCUGGGGAAGAGCAACGGUUCAAGGCAGACGGUGCCGGGCGACUUCCUCCGGGUCCCCUGGCCCGUCCCCUGCAUCCUCCCAAAGUGAGCCGUAGUAGGUGGGACUUGAUUAGUUCACGAGAUUCCUUCAGGACUACGUCACCAUUCAGUUAUAUAACCCUGAAGGUGGCUACACAGUUGAGAAAUUGGGGGGACAUUCUGAGACAGCAUGGAGGCAAUCACUUAGCGCUCCGUCUUCCGGUGCCGUGGAAACUUCCCAAGUGAAAAGGGGAAAGAAACAGAAAGAAUGGAUUUCCCCUGAUUUGCUGAGCAUCACAGUGUCUGCAAAGCAGAGCGCUGACGACCACCCAGGGAGCAGCAGUGUCUACGGAGCCCAGACGGCAGCCACGGGAGGCCAGACGGGCAGUCGGACAUCCCCGCCGUCUCGUAUGACUACUCAGAGGAGGCGCUGAUGGCCAGCAUCGAGCAGAAUACUGUCGCUGAGGCCGCUGAGGCCGCUGCCGCCGCCUGGCAGGCCCCCUUGCUCCUGC